GGGGGCGGGGCCCGGAGGGAGUCUGGGAGGGCCCGAAAGUUUGCCCAAGUCGCUGGGGCGGCCGGCCGGGGUGCAAGCAGUCGGGCCGGGCUCCCACGACCCCCGCGCGGGGCGGGCCCAGGCAGGAAGUGGGCGCACUUACUGGCCCCCUCGAUCUUGUCGGCGCCCCGGCUCCACGUGAUCUGGCGCGUCUCCAGCUUGACCUGGAAGGUCUUCCGCUCGGGUCGCUGCGACUUCUUGGAGUAGAACAAAGUCAUGACGGUGCCCACCUCGAGGCUGCGGCAGAGCACCGCCAAAAUUGAGGACACCCACGGUCGCGGUGGAGCCUGUCUGACAUGUUGAGCCAGGCAGUGGGUCGGCUGCCAGGCACAGCAGGACAACUUACUGCAUUUCAGAGGAAUGAUGGUCCACAAUUUACUGAUGAGGAAACAGAGAUUCAGAGAAGUUCUACAAUUUGCCCCAAAGCCACAUAACAUGACUAGGUGGGAACUAGAACCCAAGUCGGCCUGACUCCAUGAGUUUUCUGCCUCACAGGAGAUCCACUGGCUUAGAGUUUCUCUCUCGUCGCCCAGGCUGGCGUGCAAUGGCACAAUCUUGGCUCACUGCAAUCUCCGCCUCCCGAGUUCAAGCAGUCCUGCCUCAGCCUCCUGAGUCUCUUUUGAUUUGGUGCUGUCACAGGUUGGGUUCUUUGGAUGUGGACUCUGUGACAGGAAACCAGCCAAGUAACCUUGUUAUCAUGCCGGACUUCUUUCCACUUAUGUCCUGGAGGAGGAGAAGGAACCUUGGCAUCUCUGGAAAUAACAGAGCACGAGGAUAGUGAAAUAAGAUGCCCCAAAGUGUGAAAGUGGUGAUGUUGGCAAUUUGGAUAUGCCAUACAGAAGCUGCACAGAGUGCUUUAAAUGAAAAGGUGGAAAUUAUCGACUUAAUAAAAAAAACUGUAUGGUGAAGUUGCUAAGAUCUAAGGCAGCCUGUAGAAGAAAAAUGACAUCCCAGCUGGAUACCAGAAAGAUCCUUCAGUAAUGAGGAUGGCCAAGGCUGGAAGAUGGAGAUGGAUGAGCAUCACAAGAUUCCAGAGUAAAAUAGAUCAAAGAGCAGGGAGGUACAUGGCCAAUAUGAUUUCAUCUGUCUUAAAUCCUUAAUAUCCAGUAGCCACUGUGGGACAGGUCUGCCCAUCCUUAAUUACUAUAUUAUUGGCUGGAGUUACUGACUGGUUUUUAGGUCACUGAAGCACCAAGAUUCCUGUACAGAGCUACUGAGCAAAGUACUUGUUCACAAUUUUCAGUCUAACUAAAACCUUUAAGAAAAUUUAGACUUUGAGAACUCUAAGUCUUUAGCAUAGAAUGAUGUGAAAUUACUGAUGUUAAUGUUGUGUCAUAAGAACCAAGAAGAAAGUUAAAUGAACCAAUCACAAUUCCAGAAUUCUCCAGAGGUUUAAUAAAUUCUGUAGUACCAGUUUCUCUUCCUUGCUCAUCUGUUUCCGAGCUUCCGUCUGGGCUUUGAAAUACUGGCUCAUCUGGGUAAAAUCACAUUUGCUUAGGUUGGUGAUAAUAUUCUUCUCUUCAUUAGUCAUUUCCUAGUCAAAAGAAAAUGGGGAGAUGAAAGAAAAACAACGAAAAUACACUAAUAAGUCCUUGGGUUUCUUUGCAAAUACACCCAAGCACCAUUUUUUCAGUCAAAGGUUUCUGGAAGUAGCCAAUCUCAAUUAAUGAAUUUUGAAAAAACAAAAAAAUACAGUUGUAUUACUUUAUUAUAAAAUAUGUACUUACUAAUAUUAAAAUGUUUUAAAAUGACUUA